AGAAAUGGUGGCCCAUUUUCAUUUGAUCACAUGCAAGAACAUCUCAAACUUAUGGACGGACAAGAUUGCACGUCUGAAAUUCAUGCAACUUAAAACACAACGCACUGGAUGUAGCACAUUCCCCUUUUGACGAUUGUAACUGAGCUAUCUAGGGUUCAAGAGAUUGGGCUCCUAUAGCUAUAAUAUAUCUCUCUAAUCAUCAACUCCCUAAUUAAUCAUAUGCUACCGGGUUCUUUUGGUUUCAAAGGAUGAGAGAGGGUUGUUUUUUUACAAAACUUAAUUAUCAUAUACUUAUGUAGGUAACAGAGGCGUGCCUACAGUGUAUUGAAAAAGGCAUUCGCCUUAGGCCUCCGAAUAAUAUUACGUUUUAUAGGGCCCCAAAAUUUACAAUAAUUUCUAUUUUAGUUGCUUAAACUUAUUUCUAAAAAAAACUUUCCACGAGAAUCGAAUAACUCAAUUUCUAAAUUUAUAUUUUUUUUAUAGGACAUAAUAUAACAUAUUUACGUAAUAAGUAUUAAACUUAUGUAUUUCGCAAAGGUGAUAUAUCGUAUUAAAAAAUUGUUUUCUUUAUAGUUGUAUAUAAAUUUAUUUUUAAAACUUGCCUUAGGCCCCUGAAACUCUUCGCACGGCACUGGUAGGUAACAAUGUCUCCAUAAGAGUGAUGACACCUAGUGUGAGUUGUCAUCAAAAAUCUUCAAAGUCUUGAGCAUAGCCUGGUACAAAAGUUUGAUGCUGAAGGAUAAUGUAUAGUUCAUAAAAUCUAAUCCCCCCCUUUUUUUUUUUGUGGAGUAAACAUGCAUUCGGUUUAAAGAUAUAUAGUCUGAUGGUUUCUAUCACUUGGAAUCUAAAAGUUGAACCAAACACAAUAUCACGUGAAUAACAAGGGUUUCUGCAAAGAAGACCUAACAUUAGGUGAAAAUUGAUUGACUAACUUAAACCGCGUUUUCGAUCUAUCGGUUCGUUAAUUUGAUAGAGAGUACGAGGAAACUUGUGCCUCAUACGAUGUCCAUUAAUGGUUUGUUUUAUACCUGCUGUAACUUACCCUUUUGUUUCCAUCUUAGCUGAAUUUGAAACUUGGAAGAUAUGUGUAUCUUAAAAUGCUUGUGUGGUUGGUUAACUCUUUCAAGGACGAAAGUGUAGUAAAUGAAGGAGCUCGCAUUUACAGAGCAACCGAGAGGUGUUGAAGACCAAGUGAAAGCACCGAUGCAUCGCGUAUUAGGGUUCUCACAUGGGUCCAUAUUGAUUUUUUUUUCUGAAAGCUGCUCAUUUUUUCACCUAAAGCUUAUAUGACGUGGCCGAAUAACUCUUUUUCAUUGGUCAUUUUUCGAUGACAUGGCGUGCAUAUUGGCCUUUUAUUAUUUAAGUUGAUUUUCUUAACUUGCAACGGUAAUAACUUUGUGAGAGCGAGAAAGAUAGCGAAUAAACUUUCUUUUACUUUAACCGGAGUAACACAUUCCCUUAUCCACCGUUGGUUUCGAAGUUCAUGAUCCAAGGGUUUAAAAUCCAAGCAUCCUCAAAAAUUUGAUCGUUAGGAAUUUUUUUCUUUUCUAUUCCCCUCUCCUCUCAUCUCCUUCCACUAAGACACAUUCUCUCUCUCUAUCGCUUUCUCCUUCUUCUUUUCUCAGAUGAUUCUCCACAGAAAAUAAUCAAAAAAGAAAAGACGUUUCAUAAAUACUGGAAGGGAACGAUCAUGGCGACGAGACAAGCUUAAGUUAGAGAUGAUCCCGUCCAUGUCAAGAACCGCUGCGCUCUUUGGGUCAUCGGAAACCUCACUUCUCUUCCCCGAGUCGAAGGAGGAACGAUCAAUCCACCCUUGCCCCCCUUGACCCGUAACUUUCGUUCCAGGUUACAAGAAAACGCACAAAUUGCUGAUAAAAAAGCAAAUCAAUCUAGAAAAAAGCUUCCUUUUCUUGAUGGUCCUCUUGUACCCACGAGUUGCUGAUAAUUAUAAAGAUCAAUGUGGACCAAGCUUCGGUUCUUGAUGAUGCUCAUGUUGUACCCAAGAAAGGCGGUUCAAAACCUAUCGAAGUGCUUGUCCACCAGAGAACCCAGAUACGAUGGUGGUGGCGACCCGUUAAAGGAUAUGGAUUGGGAGAGAAGUUAACCGAGGGAAAGAGAUCGAGUUUUCAACAUUUGAGGAGCGCGUGGAUUCACUCUCCGCUACGAUUUCUCAAGGUUAGCCUUGCUUCUUCCCCAAGUUUAUUAUGUCUUUUUUUAUGUUUUGAGCUUAGUGUUGCAGAAUCUUCGUAAUGAUCAAAUCUGGAAGAUAGGUUUUGGUGGUGAUGAUCGAAUUUGGAAAAUAGGUUUAGGUGGCUUGUAUUUGAAUUAUUUGAAAUAUCUAGAAAUGGAAAUCUUGGUGGCAAUGAUCGAAUUUAGAAGAUAGGUUUAGCUGGCUCGUACUUGUAUUAUGGAAAAGCCAGGGACUUUUUAUUUAUUUAUAAAAUAUAUAUAAUUUUAAACGUUUUCUUGUACAAACCUUUUGUUUUAAGUAUAAUAUAUUUUUUAGUGU